UCUGGUGGUGUAGUGGUUAGAGCGUCCGCCUCUGAUGUGGGAGGGCGUGGGUUUGAUCCCCGGCCUGGUCAU